GAUAGGAGAAUGGAGUUAGGAGGGAGAGAUAGAUCAACCAUGAUUGAAUGUUGGAGUAGAUUUAAUAGGCCGAAUAGCCUAAUUCUGCUCCUAUCACAUGACCUUAUGACUACCUGAAUGUUAGUAAGUUACCAUAUACCUCUUUAGGGAUGUCUACAAUAACAUAAUCUACCUGUUAGAACUAUAGUUUUACCUUCAAAGCAAGAUGAGGACAGGAUUAGGAUAGCAUUGAUAGUAGCUAUCAAGGUAAAGGGCCUGUCCCACUUGCCUGAGUUAUUCACGUAUAUACAUCCAUGGAUAUAUUGUAGUGGCUCGUUAUGCCAGCCGUAGGUAAUCGGGGCUAUUUUUUUACUCGUGGACAUUUUUCAUCAGGCCAAAAAAACGUCCUGACUUACCUGAUGCCGCGAGUACCUACAGCUGGCAUAACGAGCCGCUACGAUAUAUCCACGGACUCCUACGGACCCGUUACGAGCAUUCCGCGAGUUUGAAAACUCGGGAGAAUUCGUGAAUAACUCGGGAAAGUGGGACAGGACCUUAACAAAGCCAAAUAAUUCUUAUGUUCCUUCCAGAUUGCUGCUGGAAAUGCAGUAUUGUGAUAUUUAUGUUUCAGUUAUUUAUCAAUAAAAAGUAGUAUAAUACAUAUAAUUAAAAUAUACAGAUGUGGUUGGAGGCAUUAGCAUUGUUCUAUAAAACUGAUAACAGAAAAUCUUGAGAACACAAGAAAUUGAAGUAUUUGGAAUCUGGAGCAAAACAAACUGCUGGAGGAACUCAGUGGGUCAGGCAGUAUAUGUGGAGGCAGAGGGUUGAGACCCUGCCACAUUAGAAUUUCAUACAUUUUGAAUUCUUCUAAACCAUAAUACAGAUGGGAGCAUCUUGAAUUGCUUUCUCAAGAUAACAGAUCAUGUAAUGUAUCUGUUGUUUAUUUUGUGGUUAAUGUUAUAUGUAUUGCUGUGUCAAAAUACGUUUAUGUCUAAUAUGUUUCUCCAAAAAUUAAAUCUCUUGAAGUGCCUGAGGUUGCAGAAUAUGUUCCUGAAGAAGUGAAACGAGUUACACAAAAAGAAAAGGUUGUUCCAAUAAAAGUGCCUGAGAUUCCCGAGUAUGUACCUGAAGAAGCUGAACCAGUUACACGAAAAAAAGCAAUUGUUCCUCCUGAGUUUAUUCCUGAAGAAGUGAAACCAGUUAUACGGAAAAAAGCAAUUGCUCCUCCUGAGUUUAUUCCUGAAGAAGUGAAACCCGUUAUACGGAAAAAAGCAAUUGCUCCUCCUGAGUUUAUUCCUGAAGAAAUGAAACCAGUUAUACGGAAAAAAGCAAUUGCUCCUCCUGAGUUUAUUCCUGAAGAAAUGAAACCAGUUAUACGGAAAAAAGCAAUUGCUCCUCCUGAGUUUAUUCCUGAAGAAGUGAAACCAGUUAUACGGAAAAAAGCAAUUGCUCCUCCUGAGUUUGUUUCUGAAGAAACAAAACCAGUUAUACGGGAAAAAAGCAAUUGCUCCUCCUGAGUUUAUUCCUGAAGAAGUGAAACCAGUUUUACGGAAAAAAGCAAUUGCUCCUCCUGAGUUUAUUCCUGAAGAAGUGAAACCAGUUACACGGAGAGAAGCAACUGCUCCAUUGAAAGUUCCUGAGUUUGCUGUGGAAGAAGUGAGAUCAGUUACACAAAUAGAAACGGUUACUACAAUAACAGGUACAAAAGACAGCACAUGCUUUAUAGUAGAAUAAUUCCUUGUACAAUCAUCAUUAUCUUUGAUGAAAGAGUUUCUUUUUAUGUGUGUCAUAAUACAGAUGUCCUGAU